ACCAUAGUGGUGGAACCAUUUCAUGGGGUUCUUUGCACAGCGACGUUCGCCAUGGAAGGUCCCUCUUCUCCUCCCGUGGAGCAGAAGAGCAGGAACUCUCAGCAGCAGGCACUGCAGCCUCCUCCCGGCGAGCUACAUGCACUAGGCGAGGUGCAUAAGAGACCCUGUGGUUUCCCUAAGAUAGUGUGUGUGCCCCUGGCUUGCUUGAACUGUGAUGCGGCGGUGAGGGAGGUGUGUCUGCUCAGCACGACCGAGGUGCCAUGGCAUUGAGAUGGUGCUAGGAUUAUUGGGCGUCUUUGAGGAGCAAUUGCAUGAUUCUCUCUUAGAAGGUGCAUAAGAGACCUGUAGUUAUCGCUGGGAGAAGGUGUGAGGCCAAUUUCAACCGCAAAUGGCCUACGAAGCGGCGGUGUCGAGGGAGGUCAGUCUGCUCGGUGCGCAUAAGGUGCCACAGCAUUGAGCGUCUUUGAGGAGCAAGUGUGUGAUGCUCUCUUGGAAGGUAAUGUAUGGCUUUUCCCUGAUGUUGCGUUUAGUUUCUGAUGUUACCAAACGGUUAAUCUUUCCGCAAUGAAAAUAAGCAAGUGUGUACUUGGGGGGGAGCAUUGGGAUUAAAUGUGCUAGUUCUCAUAUGGACAGAAGUACAUGUUGAGCUUGCGGUCUUUCCACCUACUAGUUCUAAUAGAGAAAAGUAGUUAUGUAACAUUUGUUCAGUAGAGUGCAUAUUUUGUUCUCAGAAUAAAAUUUGAACCUUUUUCCAUAAGGGCAUUUGUAUUCAGACAUUAAUCUGUACCAAAUAGUUGCUUCUCUCAGAACAUGCUUUUCGAGUGCCUACAUGCAGUCACUGGCAGGGUCGAUCAACCUGUUGGUUGUUGUCACACAAAUCCAUCCAUGUCUUGUCGCUGUACUACGAAAGGUUGUGCUUUAUUUGUGUUCAACAAAUACUUGAUAUGAAGAUCCCUGCUUGGAUUACCUUACCCUCAAGCACCUCUUUUGCGAGCCAACAAGAACAUAAAGUUAUGUCUAUGUCACACUGUUUUUCAUUAAGCAACAUUUGCUUUGCAUAUAAAAGCUUGUGAAGCGUGUGUAUCCGCUGCAAUUAGUACUGCAGCAUCUUCUCUAGCUUUAUCAUGUUCUGCCCGACUAGUAUUGCAUCAUCCUUGGUUCAAUUCAAUCUUCUCUGUCGUGGUUUCCUCAUGCAAGUUUACAAGAGAUCCCGACAUCACCAGCGAAUCCGUCGGUGUUAGGCCUACUUCCACCGCAAAAAGCACCCAAUGGUGAGUGCCCUUCCAUCUCACUUGCCGUACUCCCUCCAUGGUGUGUGCUUGUGAUCUUUUCUUUUCCAAGAGAAAAUAUUGCAUUUUCAGGGUAUAGUAAAACAUGGACUCAAUCAUUCCACUGUUGUUUGAGAGAAUCUUAGUUGUGUCCAAUGCCAAUAUGUCAAGAAAGCCUCAGAGUGAAUGUGUUCUAAUUCAAUUUGCUAUGAACUCUUCCCUGGUUUUGAGUCCGCCAUUUGAUCUCUUAGCUUAUAAGGCUGGACAUGGAAAACUUGGGUUUGUCUUUUGUCUUUAUCAACCCUGGCUUAGAAGAAAAAAUAUUAC